GAUGAAGAACGUAGCAAAAUGCGAUAAGUAAUGUGAAUUGCAGAAUUCAGUGAAUCAUCGAAUCUUUGAACGCACAUUGCGCCCGCCAGUAUUCUGGCGGGCAUGCCUGUUCGAGCGUCAUUUCAACCCUCAAGCACAGCUUGGUGUUGGGACUCGCGUUAAUUCGCGUUCCCCAAAUUGAUUGGCGGUCACGUCGAGCUUCCAUAGCGUAGUAGUAAAACCCUCGUUACUGGUAAUCGUCGCGGCCACGCCGUUAAACCCCAACUUUCCAAGGUUGACCUCAGAUCAGGUAGGAAUACCCGCUGAACUUAAGCAUAUCAAUAAGCGGAGGA
rnacentral:misc_RNA from 1 species